GCCUAAUACAGAAGCUAAUUUUGUUGGAUCAAAAUCAAGGUGCUCAAAGGGCUGGACUUCUUCCGGAGGCCUAGGAAUAAAUUAAUCUCCUUCCCUCUUCUGGUUUCUGAUGGUGGCUGGCAUGGCUUGGCCGGUGGUGGCCUUGUCACUCAGCCCUGCCUGUGUGGUCACCGUCAUCCUUCCUCUCUGUGAGGAGUCUCCUUUGCACUUGGGCCAGCGUCAAGGCCCUGCCUGGAUCAUCUCACACAUCCAUGUCUAUAAUUCAGCAGGACCUGCAAAGAUUUUUAUCCUGUGUUUAAGUUCUCGGUCUACGCUGCAACACUCAAGGAUCCAGAUACCCGGACUCAGGAAGAAAAGCAGCAACGGGCACACAUCCUGCAAGCUCAGGUGAACUCUCAGCAGCCAAUCUGAGUUCAUCGGGUCUUCCUAACCCAUGCAAAAUGGCUGGCUCAUAAAUGGCCAUAUGACCAGUUCUAGCCAGUGGCUUCUGGGAAGAUGCCCACAAAGCUGGUGUCUUCUGUCUGCAGUCUGUAGAUGUGGGACACAGAAACCAUGGCCACCAUCCUAGGGCAAGCCCAAAAAAGUGGGUGAUGUCAAGGCUCCAGAGUAGGGCUAUGGAAAGGAGCUAGGACCUGAAGCAUGCUCCUGAGCGUGGAGCUGUAAGCCUUCAGCUGCAUUGCUGCCUGCCCUGUCCACACUCUGCAUGGCUGCAACCUUGGCUUCUGUGACUGCUACAAGCCCAGGAUAUGAAGUCAUACAGUACCUUUGCCUUAUCUGAGCAAGGAGCCCCUUCCCCUAGAUCAGGGGUCCUCAACCACCCUAAUACUGCGACCCUUUAAUAUAGUUCCUCAUGUUGGGGUGACCCCCAACCAUGAAAUUAUUUUUUGUUGCUACUCAUAACUGUAAUUUUGUCACUGUUAUGAAUUGCAAGGGAAAUAUCUGAUAUGUGACCCCCCCCCAAAGAGUCGCGACCCACAAGUUGAGAUCCACUGCCCUAGAAUGAUAUUACCCAUCUCUAGUACAGAACACACAGAUUCCCCAACACCAGGAACCUGUGCAGGAAACACCCCACACAGAGCUUUCACACUGUGCCAUCUGCCUGCCUAAUGCACCCAGCAGGCUGGGGAACUCAUCCCAUGACCUCAAGGUUUUUAGCCUUUGCAACGUUCACAGUGGUACCCAGGGAUGAGCAGAGCCCCCAUCCUCCAAUCCAGGCAUCCUUCCAUUAAAAUCCCAGAUUCUUAUUCAAAUGUAGCUUCAACCUCAUUCAUUCCUUCCUUUCCAACUAAAGAGAGACUGUGGACCCCCAUGUUGCAGUCCUGGACACAGGCCUGCCUGAGCUGCCCUACCCCUACCCCACCCCCCAAAAAAGACUUGCACAGGAAAAUCAAGGCACAGAGAGAGCUGCCCUCUGCUGGACCGGCCAAGGAUCUGAACCACAGGUCAGUGUCAGAUGCAAGUUUUUUGUGAAAUGGCCUCGAGAUAGACAGAUGAGUUCAAAAUGGCUCAGAACCUCUGUGCUCAGAACCUCAGCACCCACAAGCCAGCCAGGACUCCGUAGCUUGGGAAGCAAGGGGUGUCUGCAGAACCCAGAGGACCCAGAACAGGAUGAGCUUCAAGAGCUACGCACAUAAUUUAGUCUUAAACCCUGGAGUUCGGAGCAAGAGGCAGCUGGGCACUUAGCCUGUUUCCCAGCUCUCAGGGAACAGGACAGAGCUGUCUUCCUUCCUUCCUUCCGGGCUGGGACACACUGCCAGAGCACAAGGGGUCACGGAGAGCCCAGCAGAACCUCCGAGGACCGAGGAGUAGAGGGCUAGCUACCGUGAUGAAUUCCUUGACCGUCAUCCCCUGCACUUCCACUGAGCUUCUCCAGCUCACAGCCCGAAUCCUCUAAGGAGGGCAGUGCAGCAUGGAGAUUAAAGACUUGAAUUGUGGGUCAGUGGGCUCCAGGCUGCAGGGCUGCCUCUGUGCCAGACUACCUGCCUGUUUCCAGCUGUGUGACCUUCAGCAAGCGACUUCACCUCUCUGGUCCUUUUUCUUGUCCACAAAAAUGUGAAUGACACCAGAAGGUCCCUCUCAGGACUUUUGGUGGGGCUAAGAUGAUGUGCGUGCACCAAGCGCCCAGGACCCACCACCCACCCUGCCGCACAGAGAGCAUCUAGAAAUAUGUAGCAACUGCUAAAGAUCCACAGAACUAGACGGUAUGGAGAGUGUGUUCCUGAACACCAAAAACCUCUUCUCUGGCUGGAAGACACAGUGAACUGGUUCUGGAACGGCUCAGAGAUUCCUCACGCUACCCCGGGCUGCAGAAGCUGACCCCCUUGGGCCAGUCUGUGGCCCCAGGCUGGGUUUCAACAUCAGUACUCUGUGACUGACUUCCCCUCUCUGCUCCCAAUGUCUUCAUCUAAGAAGUAAAAUCCUGCAUGGUGUCCAGGUCUCCGGGGUCUCUGGUCUCAUCAUCAACCUGAUGAUACUUUCUGCUAGAUUGACAUCUCUGGUCCUGGUUAAAUUCUGAGUGUUUGCUUAAGCCUUGUUGUCAAGGCCUCAGUGGGUGCCUUCAGUACCUUUCCAGUCCUCAAAGUAGCCUGGACAGAUAAGUCACUGUAUACUCGUUGUACAGAUGGGGAAACCGAGGUACAGAAAUAGGCAUUCGACACGACAACUCCCUAUACAAGUGAUACCCAUGAGAUGGGAGUCUAACUCAUAUUGGUCAAAUUCAACCUUGUACCCUGGUGUUGUCUCCACCCAGACUCUCUAGGGCUCUGAGCCAGUAAAUCACCAGACUUCUCCAUGGGUCUGUCACCUUGGACACGUGAUUUUGCAACUGUGAUGGUGGCCAUACGGCAAGACCAGACCCCAAAGUGGAUGAGCCCAUGCAACCCCGUCAUCACUGGGAUCCACAUGAGGAGAAAGCCAGCUCAAUCCGGCUUGAACAUCCAUGCAUAGUGCUGUGUGCUUGUACUGCAGAGGCAUCUGCACCAGGUGUGUGAGGCGAGGCCCUCGGGAGCCAACCCCACCCUGGAGCGCCUCAGUGAUGGGAGAACCCCAGAAAAGCCCAGACAGGACCACCAGGUCUAGGUUUACAAACUGCUUCUUCCUCCUUCUCCUUCUGAAGCCACAGGAACACCUGAGUCCCACUGGGGAGUCAUGUGACUACACUCCAGCUUGUGUAGCCCAGAGCUGAAGAGACCCCCACACACACAUCGUUGAAACUGCCCUUACCCCCUUACCCAGUCUGUAGAUAGGAGAAUGAGAAGUCUGGUGAACAGGGACCAUCACCAAAAAAAAAAAAAAAAAAAAAAAGACCCUUGCCUGCUUCUCUGCAGCCUCAGAGUCAUCAUAUUGAUGCCAGUGGCUCUUUACAUAUGAUGGAGACUUGAAAUGUUCUUUAGCAGCCGACCCAAACUGCCUACAGCUCAGAACUCUGAUUCUAACCCUGGGACUGCUUGUGCGCACUGCGCCCUUCUCCAGCCAGACUAAGCUUGUCAGGCUCUGCAAGGAACUGGGUUCACUGUCCCUGGCAAUCACCCAUGCUAUGCCUGGGUUGACGCCCUCAUGAGCCAACUGAGACAUCUGAUCCAAGCCCUCAGUCAUGGUCACGCCGGAAGCUUAAGAUCAGCCAGGUGGUGAAUUACACCACAGAAACUGGACACCCUUCCCGCCCCUCCCCAGGAGCCCUAGCUGCUAAGUUUCUAUCAGUGUGAAACUUGAAGUGGCCCAGAUGCCCUUAAAGCAUCUAGUUUUGGGGGCUGGAGAGAUGGCUCAGUGGUUAGGAGCACUGACUGCCCUUCCAGAGCUCCUGAGUUUGAUUCCCAGCAACCACAUGGCGGCUUGCAACCAUCUGUCAUGGGAUUCGAUGCCCUCUUCUGGUGUGUCUGAAGACAGCGUACUCACAUAAAAUAAAUAAAUCUUAAAAAAAAAAAAAAAAGCCGGGCGUGGUGGCGCACGCCUUUAAUCCCAGCACUUGGGAGGCAGAGGCAGGCAGAUUUCUGAGUUUGAGGCCCGCCUGGUCUACAAAGUGAGCUCCAGGACAGCCAGGGCUAUACAGAGAAACCCUGUCAAGAAAAACCGAAAUAAAUAAAUAAAUAAAAGGUUUCUGGUUUUAUCUUUAGUAUCCCAUGCAUUUUGUAGUCAUCCACAGAAUAUUUGUUAGUUCCUUGCAGGAUUUGGGGCUUGCAUAUGGACUGAUAUCAAACUCAACAUCCUCCUGCCUCAGCCUUCUGAAUGGUGGGAUUACAGGCAUGCGUCAUCACACCUGGUUAAAAUCAUCCUUGGCUUCCCUAGGACAUUUUUAAAUGGCCAGCCACCUUGUUAGCAGUGGUGGGGAGAUGGCCCAGUGUUGCCUCCAGCAGCCUGGAGGAGCCCCCUCCCCUCUCAGAGACCUCCACCCAGAGAAAGCUGGAUUUUCCUUUAAUUUUGCCGCAGAAAAGAACUUCAGGACGAGCCAAAGAGAAGUGAAGGUAGUUGGUUUAUUAGAUAUUCAGAUGGAGCCCCACAGAGAAAGACACUACACAGUUCAGACCAGUAUGAGUUCCUCAAGGACAAGUGGCCCUGAGGUAUCUUGACAGUGGCUGCACCUAUGGUUCCCUAAGGAUUUUAUUCUUCGAGGAUUUAAUUUAUGCUAAGGUAUAAAGAUUAGGCAAAGCUUAAACAAAGCUGGCUGAAGUCUGUUAAAGAAUUUCCCUUUUGUGAAUAAAACUGUCAGGUGGUC
rnacentral:lncRNA from 1 species